UGGUCAUUUAUGUCUCAUUUUAUAAGAAAUUUGUCCAGUUGUCUUCCAGGGUGGCUGUACCAUUUUGCAUUCCUCCCAGCAAUGUAUUGGAACAAUGUUCUAACAUGUGAAAGCACCCUCGUCAGCACUUGGAUAGAACCUGAUAAACGACAAGCAUUCUGCAAACAUCCCAUAGAAAUCACCUCCUAGAUUCUGAGCCAGUGACAUUUGCUGAGUUGUGAGUUGAAUAUAAUUUCUUUUAUGUUUUGCUUCUGAAUCCAAAAUACAGAUGGUAGUCAUGUUGGCUGCAGCAAUAACUAACUUCGCUGCACUAUCAACCGGAUCUCUUUGUUUUCUUCUUCUGUUUUGAAUCCACACCUAAAAUGGGACAAAAUCUACCAGCCAGAAUAACCUGAUUGAGAAAUCAGCCAUAACUGGUUUUCUUGGCUGUAGACUCUUCAGGAAAGAAUGUGAAGUAUUUUUCCCACAUCCUCCCAGGAGGGCCACCAGGGGCUCCAGUCCUGGAGGUCGAGGAGCAUUGGAGCUGGUUCUGCAGUUGGGGAGUGGGAGUAGCCUUACCUGUCGGACAGUGACUUCCAGUAUCUGAGAAGAGGGUGGGAGAUCAUGAGCGUCCACAAGUGGCAGAAGUUGAGAUCCAAAUGGAACACACACACCCUCCCACCUCCCAGGAUGGCAAAACCUGGUACAGAGAUGGCUGUAAGGAGGAGGCUGGAAGAAAGACCACUAAGUGGCCAGUUAUUGGGCAAAGCCACUGUGAGUGGGCAGCUCACCAGCCUGCCUGGAGAAGCAGUGCCCACAGACAGGAAGCACCAGCAUUCAGCAAGGAGCACAAGGAGCAACUGUAACUGUGGCCAUCUCUACUGAAUAAGGACCAGCUGCCCCAGUUCUACAAGAUCGAGUCCUUUGCUUGUUUGGGAGAUUUUUUGUGCCUUUUGUUUUUGUAAAAUCCAACGUUCCGAGGGAAGAAGCCCUAAUAAUGACAUUAAAUUUCUCACUAACUGUGGAUGGGACUUGGGACCAGAUUUAAAUAAACUUGGACAAAUAAAGAACAUUGGCAUUUUGUUUCCCA